rnacentral:tRNA from 1 species
GGGGAUUUAGCUCAGUGGUAGAGCACUUGCCUAGCAAGCGCAAGGCCCUGGGUUCGUUCCCCAGCUCUG